rnacentral:lncRNA from 1 species
CUCCGUUAAUAUAGAACGGUUGUAGAAAAUAUUGCAUAUCACAAUAGAAAAUAGUUGUAUAUGUAUAUAUAUUCUUCGAUAUCAUAAAAAAAAAUAAGAAAAUAAGGAGAAACCUAGCUUUCUUCUGUCUAUUAAUGUUCCGUCAUUGUGCCGGAUGUUAGAUACCAUCGAGUCCGAACAAAUUUUGCCGGUGUGGUUUAGACACAGUGUACAUUGA